AGAUCCUAGGCCUCAGUUUCCCCAACUGAAACACUGCAGUAACAAUGCUGACAUUACUGGGUUCUUGUGAGUUAAAGAAGAUAAGGUGGUUAUGUUGAACAUGUAAAUAUUCUCCCUGCUGUGAGUAUUGCUGCAGCUGGCCAAAGAUGCUUUAUUUUAAAGAUGUGGAUGCAGGAAGAUAAAAGCAUCAGAAACACUGCAUGGGAGACAAGUUUUUGCCAUGUUGCCCAGUCUGGUCUCAAUCUCCUGAACUCAGGCAAUCCACCCACCUUGGCCUCCCAAAGUGUUAGGAUUACAGGGGCUGCCUGUGAUGCUCAUCUGACCUGAUUUCUCCCACACAGUGUUGCAACUGACGAGUAGCAGACUUGCCCUUGCCUGCAUUUGGGGGGAUGACUGAGACUUUCCUUAUAGAAAGCCCUACU